AGAGUGAACGCUGGCGGUAGGCCUAACACAUGCAAGUCGAACGGCAGCACAGUGGUAGCAAUACCAUGGGUGGCGAGUGGCGGACGGGUGAGGAAUACAUCGGAAUCUACCUUUUCGUGGGGGAUAACGUAGGGAAACUUACGCUAAUACCGCAUACGCCCUUCGGGGGAAAGCCGGGGAUCGCAAGACCUGGCGCGGAUAGAUGAGCCGAUGUCGGAUUAGCUAGUUGGUGAGGUAAUGGCUCACCAAGGCGACGAUCCGUAGCUGGUCUGAGAGGAUGAUCAGCCACACUGGAACUGAGACACGGUCCAGACCUCCGUA
rnacentral:rRNA from 1 species